UGAUGGGAAUCUAAAACCUUUCCGGAGUAUCAAUUGGAGGGCAAGUCUGGUGCCAGCAGCCGCGGUAAUUCCAGCUCCAAUAGCGUAUAUUAAAAUUGUUGCAGUUAAAAAGCUCGUAGUUGAAUUUCUGCUGCAUCCGUGUCAUUCCUAACUGGUUUGUCACUGUUGUGGCUUUUUCUGGUGGUUGUGCUUCGGCUARAUCUCCAGAUUGUUACUUUGAGAAAAUUAGAGUGCUUCAAGCAGGCUUUUGCCUUGAAUACUUUAGCAUGGAAUAACUAAGUAGGACUUUGGUUCUAUUUUGUUGGUUUAAGAGCCAAAGUAAUGAUUAAUAGGAACAGUUGGGGGCAUUCGUAUUUAACUGUCAGAGGUGAAAUUCUUAGAUUUGUUAAAGACGAACUACUGCGAAAGCAUUUGCCAAGGAUGUUUUCAUUAAUCAAGAACGAAAGUUAGGGGAUCGAAGACGAUCAGAUACCGUCGUAGUCCUAACCAUAAACUAUGCCGACUAGAGAUUGGAGGUCGUCAGUUUGAACGACUCCUUCAGCACCUUGAGAGA
rnacentral:rRNA from 1 species